rnacentral:rRNA from 1 species
AAUGAACGUUGGCGGCGUGGAUUAGGCAUGCAAGUCGUACGAGAAUCGUAGCAAUACGAGGAAAGUGGCGGAAGGGAGAGGAUUACGUGGGAAUCCACCCUCAGAACUGGGAUAGCGGCGGGAAACUGCCGGUAAUACCAGAUAAUGUCUGUGGACCAAAGGUGUGAUUCCGUCUGGGGAUGAGCCCACGUCCUAUUAGCUAGUUGGCAGGGUAAUGGCCUACCAAGGCAAUGAUGGGUAGCGGGUGUGAGAGCAUGACCCGCCUCACUGGGACUGAGAACUGCCCAGACACCUACGGGUGGCUGCAGUCGAGAAUCUUCGGCAAUGAGCGCAAGCUUGACCGAGCGACGCCGCGUGCGGGAUGAAGGCCUUCGGGUUGUAAACCGCUGUCGUAGGGGAGCAAGAGAUGAGGGUACUCCCUCUGAUUUGAGCGAUCCUAGGAGGAAGGACGGGCUAAGUUCGUGCCAGCCGCCGCUGUAACAC